GGUUCUCCCCAUCACUGGAAAAGUUUGGGUUCUGUCUGUUGACAGAUAUUCAUCCAGACACCCUCUGUGUUUAGCCUCCUAAGCCUCACUCAGAAGCCUUGUCCCUGGAUUGAUCAUAUGUUGGCAUCCUGGUUGUCUAAAUGCUGGAGGGAUGAUGAUAGGACACUGCAGAGACCAGUCAUGAUAGAAGGAGGAAACGUCAUCCAUCCCACAGUGAGAAUGGUGGUUUGGGAUACAAACAAGAAACAAAAGGCCAGUGCUAGAAGAAUACAGACCGUG